UACGUAGGGGGCAAGCGUUGUCCGGAAUCAUUGGGCGUAAAGAGCGUGUAGGCGGCCCGAUAAGUCCGCUGUGAAAGUCCAGGGCUCAACCCUGGAAUGCCGGUGGAUACUGUCGGGCUCGAAUCCGGAAGAGGUGAGUGGAAUUCCUGGUGUAGCGGUGAAAUGCGCAGAUAUCAGGAAGAACACCAACGGCGAAGGCAGCUCGCUGGGACGGUACUGACGCUGAGACGCGAAAGCGUGGGGAGCGAACAGG
rnacentral:rRNA from 1 species